rnacentral:rRNA from 1 species
CAAGAGCGUAUAUUAAAGUUGCUGCGGUUAAAAAGCUCGUAGUUGGAUUUCAGUCUAGGAAGGUUAACUCGCCGAAAGGUUGUACGUUGAUUUUCCUCAGACUUCGUCAGAAGCUCGUGCUGCACUUAACUGUGUGGUACGAUGUUCUGACCUUUUACCUUGAGGAAAGUAGAGUGUUUCAGGCAGGCUACCCAGCUUGAAUACAUUGGCAUGGAAUAAUGAAAUGGAUCUCGGUUCGAUUUCGUUGGUUCUAGAGCUGAGGUGAUGAUCAAUAGGAACAGGCGAAGGUAUUCGUACUUGAGAGUGAGGAGUGAAAUCCGAUGAUCUCUUAAAGACGAUCCGAGGCGAAAGCAUUUGUCAAGGAUGUUUUCAUUGA